GGAGCUAGGGUGGUGUAGUGGUUAAGAGCGGUGGACUCGUAAUCUGGUGAACCGGGUUCAAUUCCCUGCUCCUCCA
rnacentral:tRNA from 1 species